rnacentral:rRNA from 1 species
CUUCGGAGCAUUUUACGAGGUGGCUGCAUGGUUGUCGUCAGCUCGUGCCGUGAGGUGUCGGGUUAAGUCCCAUAACGAGCGCAACCCUACCUUUAGUUGCCAUCAGGUUAAGCUGGGGACUCUAAAGGAACUGCCUACGCAAGUAGUGAGGAAGGCGGGGGAUGACGUCAAAUCAGCACGGCCCUUACGUCCAGGGCUACACACGUGCUACAAUGGCCGAUACAGAGGGCAGCUACCUGGUGACAGGAUGCAAAUCUCCAAAGUCGGUCUCAGUUCGGAUCGGAGUCUGCAACCCGACUCCGUGAAGUUGGAUUCGCUAGUAAUCGCGCAUCAGCCAUGGCGCGGUGAAUACGUUCCCGGGCCUU